UUAAAUUGAAGAGUUUGAUCAUGGCUCAGAUUGAACGCUGGCGGCAGGCCUAACACAUGCAAGUCGAACGGUAACAGGAAGCAGCUUGCUGCUUUGCUGACGAGUGGCGGACGGGUGAGUAAUGUCUGGGAAACUGCCUGGUGGAGGGGGAUAACUACUGGAAACGGUAGCUAAUACCGCAUAACGUCGCAAGACCAAAGAGGGGGACCUUCGGGCCUCUUGCCAUCGGAUGUGCCCAGAUGGGAUUAGCUAGUAGGUGGGGUAACGGCUCACCUAGGCGACGAUCCCUAGCUGGUCUGAGAGGAUGAC
rnacentral:rRNA from 1 species